GGCAACGAAGGAGCAGGGGCGGGGCGGCCGUUAAUCAGCGAGUGGCAACGGCGGCGGCGGCGCCACUUGGCGGACUAAACCCGCCCCGCCCCUACGAUGCCUGGAGAAGAGACUUGGGACUCGCCUGACGAACGAUGCGGGAGGGGGAGGGGACGGGGAAGCGCGCGCGCGGAAGUUUCUGAUGGUUUCAUUGGUUCUGCUUAAUGUUUUCAUAAGGCAAGUGCCCAAAUUGCCAUGGGAUUACUCUGUUCUUCCCAUUGAAACAGCAAGAAGAGGAGGCAUAAUUCUUCAUAUUACCCUGUUGCACCAAUCUGAUGAUCACAUAUCCUUGGGUGUGACCAAAUCUCUCAGCUUUGUUCUGCUGGCCUGAUUAAAGUGAAUGAUGACAUCUCUCACAUUCAGUUAAGACACUGAACAUGUUUGGCUACAUUUAUGGAGUUCUUGUGUGCGGUAUGACAUCUUUGCAACUGUCCUAUGAAAGACUGUUGAAUGAAAAUUCACAUCCAGCUGGAUGCAAUGCAAAAUUAAGUUACAACGUAGAAUUUGCUGCACACGAGGGACUUACAGAGGAACUGCCUGCUGGAUUAGUACAAGUUGGGUGUGGAAGUUGCUCAGGUUACAAAGAAUGUUGAAGUACAGAACAUAUCUUGUUGGAAGCAAUCAAUAGAACACCUGUGGCAAUAAACCUACAUGCAUUUACA
rnacentral:lncRNA from 1 species